rnacentral:rRNA from 1 species
GACGAACGCUGGCGGCGUGCCUAAUACAUGCAAGUUGAGCGCUGAAGGUUGGUACUUGUACCGACUGGAUGAGCAGCGAACGGGUGAGUAACGCGUGGGGAAUCUGCCUUUGAGCGGGGGACAACAUUUGGAAACGAAUGCUAAUACCGCAUAAAAACUUUAAACACAAGUUUUAAGUUUGAAAGAUGCAAUUGCAUCACUCAAAGAUGAUCCCGCGUUGUAUUAGCUAGGUGGUGAGGUAAAGGCUCACCAAGGCGAUGAUACAUAGCCGACCUGGGCGGGUGAUCGGACAAAGUGGGACUGAGACACGGCCCAAACUCCUACGGGAGGCAGCAGUAGGGAAUCUUCGGAAAUGGACGAAAGUCUGACCGAGCAACGACGCGUGAGUGAAGAAGGUUUUCGGAUAGUAAAACUCUGUUGGUAGAGAAGAACGUUGGUGAGAGUGGAAAGCUCAUCAAGUGACGGUAACUACCCAGAAAGGAACGGCUAAAUACGU